AGGGCACUGGCCCUACCUGUAUAGCUAGAUGAAUUGUACAUAGGAUUCCACCUAUGAAACUACCACCCUGAAGAUAAUAAGAAGCUCCCUCAGCUCCUUUCCUGUCAGCAACUAGCCACCUUCACCCCCAGCAGGUAAAAGGAAAAUCAGCUGGAACUUCAAUCAACCAAUGUUACCAUAAACAAAAGAAGAACUUACAUAUUUGGGGUUAAUAUGUGAAGAACUCAUAGGUUUUAUGACCAACAAUAUAUUGCAAUCCAAGGGAAAAAAUGGAAGCAUUAUGAGCCAUUUUCAAAGGCUGUCUCACAAAAUGCACGCUGUAAUUACUGGACUGAAGAGAAUGAUUCCUUUCUGAUAUGACAAGGUUCCUGAUUCCAGGAGAUGAUUCCAAAAGUGAAUUUUCCACACUGAAUGAACAGCUGGUGGUGGAAGGAGACAUGUUGGCAAAGAUGCAGGUGAAGAGUCCAGUGUUUCCUGCCAGGCUUUUGCCUGAAAACAGUGGCAACAACACCAAAUAGGCCCCACUUGAACUUCAUGAAAAAGGCAAAUGUGUGGAGAGAACCUAUAAAGCUCAAACUAGGACAAGU
rnacentral:lncRNA from 1 species